rnacentral:rRNA from 1 species
CACUCCUGCGGGAGGCAGCAGUGGGGAAUUUUGGACAAUGGGCGAAAGCCUGAUCCAGCCAUGCCGCGUGCAGGAUGAAGGCCUUCGGGUUGUAAACUGCUUUUGUACGGAACGAAACGGCCUUUUCUAAUAAAGAGGGCUAAUGACGGUACCGUAAGAAUAAGCACCGGCUAACUACGUGCCAGCAGCCGCGGUAAUACGUAGGGUGCAAGCGUUAAUCGGAAUUACUGGGCGUAAAGCGUGCGCAGGCGGUUAUGUAAGACAGUUGUGAAAUCCCCGGGCUCAACCUGGGAACUGCAUCUGUGACUGCAUAGCUAGAGUACGGUAGAGGGGGAUGGAAUUCCGCGUGUAGCAGUGAAAUGCGUAGAUAUGCGGAGGAACACCGAUGGCGAAGGCAAUCCCCUGGACCUGUACUGACGCUCAUGCACGAAAGCGUGGGGAGCAAACAGGAUUAGAUACCCCUGUAGUCC